rnacentral:rRNA from 1 species
GAGGGUGAAAGCCCAUGACCCAUUGCAAUGCCGUGUUCUGCACGUUAAACAUAUUGUGUUGGCUUUGGACACACAUUAAAGACGCAAAAAGCCCUGUUUAUGAGUCUAAUGUAAAAGAACUUUACAACCAAUGACGUUGGAUCCCUUGGCAUGCCUGAUCGAUGAAGACCGUUGCCAACUGCGAUAAGUGGUGUGAUGCGCAAGUCUAAAACUUAUAAGUGAACCAUCGAAUUGUUGAACGCACUGCACCGAGCUCUACCCGAGCACGGUAUGUCCCAUUGAGCGCUAUUAAYGUCUUCGAGAGGGCUAAUCUUUGAUUGGCACCCGGGUUCRGAGUCCACAGUGCCCUUGCACUGCGUUCUCUCAGAUGGAUUUGAAUGGUGUCYGGUUGCACCGGAACCUCUAUGUCAUGAGAAUGCAUGGAGUGUCUGUUAAGUGCCCGAUGCCUGGGGCAGCACAGAUGGUGGCUGUCCAAGCAUUGUCAAUUGAGAAUGUAGCCUCACUGGGACAAGACAACCCGCUAGACUUAAGCAUAUUAAUCAGCGGAGGAAAAGAAACUAACUAGGAUUCCCUUAGUAACUGCGAGUGAAGCGGGAUGAGCUCAAUGUGUGAAU